GUAGUUAGCCGGGGCUUCCUCCUUGGCUACCGUCACUUUCUUCGUCCCCAAGGACAGAGGUUUACAACCCGAAAGCCUUCUUCCCUCACGCGGCGUUGCUGGGUCAGGGUUUCCCCCAUUGCCCAAUAUUCCCCACUGCUGCCUCCCGUAGGAGUCUGGACCGUGUCUCAGUUCCAGUGUGGCCGAUCACCCUCUCAGGUCGGCUACCCAUCGUCGGCUUGGUGGGCUGUUAUCUCACCAACUACCUAAUGGGACGCGAGCCCAUCUACGAGCAAUAAAUCUUUGACCCCUUUAUCAUGUGAUAAUGUGGUCUUAUGCGGUAUUAGCAGUCGUUUCCAACUGUUGUCCCCCACUCGUAGGCAGGUUGCUCACGCGUUACUCACCCGUCCGCCACUAAGUCUACCAACAAUCCAUCCGAAACUUCAUCUCGAUAGCUUCGUUCGACUUGCAUGUGUUAAGCACGCCGCCAGCGUUCGUCCUGAGCCAUGAUCAAACUCUGA
rnacentral:rRNA from 1 species